CCUCGAACUCUAUCAGUUGACGAUAAUAUAGAAGAAAAAACUUGGAUAUUAAGAUUUACAUAUUACAUACACAUUUUUGGUCAUGAUAUGCUGUCUAAUUACUCUUGAACAGGCGUGCCCAACUGUGAUGCUGGAGAUCUACCUUCCUCCAGAGUUCAGCUUCAACCCUGAUCCAACACACCUGAACCAAUUAAGUAGGAUCUGAAGAGCACUUGAUAAUUACAGGCAGGUGUGUUUGAUAUGGAAUGCAACUAAAAUCUGCUGGAAGGUUGACUAAAAAUGUUGGGUUCCACAAUCGUUUUGUGUUGAGACAAGAUAAUCGAAGUAGCUUAUUAUUAUAUAUUUUUUUGUUUUACAAAUUUAAGUAGAUUGAAUAUAAAAAACGAAUUUGUCCCAACAAAAUCUCAAGAAUUUUGUUAUUUUAACUCAUUUUAAGUAAGUAAUUCAAACAAGCAACAACAAAUUUUUUUUGGCUGGAGAUCUCCAAACACAGUGUUGGCCAACCCUGUCCAGACAUCAAAAGUCAUUCAAACAUCAGUUUGAGCCUCUGUGUUUCCAGAUGAUCUUUUUAAAUGAAGGAUGUUGCUCGGUUUCCAAGAUCUUCUCUUGAUCAUUCUCGACAACUUCUCCUUGUGAUCUUCCUCCUCUGUGUCACCUACAGGGAAAACGUCUGCUCUUUAAAGACCCUCUACUCUUUGUGUCCUCCUCCUCUAUCAAAGGACCACCCCGUAGCAGUUUUGUGAGAUCUCCAAACAGUCCCCCUGUACUUAAACACACUGAGCAAACUCGCAACACCUCAAGCCUGAAAGAGGCUUUGUGCACAUCACAAUGUCUUUCACCACUGUGAACAUCAAUCCUCAGCCAACACCAUCACUACGUAUUCCAGGUUGUAUUAGCAAAUACACAUGCAUUCAUACAAAUAAUGAGCUAAUAUUUGACCUAAAACACUGGGAGGUCAGGAAAUCAGAGACAUUUUGUGCGGCCUGUUGUUAUACAGAGCAGGUUGUAUCACGGUGGAUGAUUAUUUCUUUAUUAUGAAGAGGGAAAAUUAGAGCAUUUGCAUACAUUGGAUUAUAAUGAAUUGGAUUGUGAUGUGAGGCCCAGAGGCAUAAUAUUUAAACCCAGUGUUUGAACAUAUACAGAUGUUUUUUGAGUGUACGAUGUUCGUACUUUGGAUUUCAAUUGCUUUUUGUGUGUGUGUGACAAUGCAAUAAAAUGAUUUAAGUAUGAAAGGGAGGAACAAGGACAAAAUAAUAAGUGAAUAUAUUGCUUUCAGCAUAUACUUUAUUUUCUGUGAGCUUUUUGGUUUCAUUAAUUUUUGAUUCUUAAAAUAGAUUUUGAUUCUUAAAAUACAUUCUUUAUUUCUUUAUUUUUUAUAAAGACCAGACAAACAGACUCUUGUAUACAAAAAUAAAGCAUAAAAACAACACCAAAAAGGAAAAUUGUGAUGUAAAAGACAAAUUUGACCUACCAAGUGUCUACAAUAAAUCUAUAAAAAGG
rnacentral:lncRNA from 1 species